GACGAACGCUGGCGGCGUGCUUAACACAUGCAAGUCGAACGGAGUGGCGAACGGGUGUGUAACACGUGGGUGAUCCGCCUUGCACUUCGGGAUAAGCUAGGGAAACUGGGUCUAAUACCGGAUAGUGCAUAAUGAGCUCGCGGCGUAUCAGCUUGUUGGGGGGGUAAUGGCCUACAAAGGCGUCGACGGGUAGCCGGACUGAGAGGGUGGACGGCCACAUUGGGACUGGGAUACGGCCCAGGCUCCUACGGGAGGCAGCAGUGGGGAAUAUUGGACAAGGGGCGGAGGGCUGAGGCAGCGACGCCGGGUGGGGGAGGAAGGCCUUCGGGGUGUAAGCUCCUUUAGACAGGGACGGGGGACCUGUAUAAGAAGCACCGGCAAACUACGUGCCAGCAGCCGCGGUAAUG
rnacentral:rRNA from 1 species